GUAAUUAUAUUAUUAAAAAGAAAUAAUUUUAAUAAAAAUAACGUUUCGUUUACUAUAUUUUUUAUUAUCGUUAUUGUACCCGCAAUUAGUCGCAUAUUUACUUAAAAAUAUAACGGCUUUGAUAUACAUUAAAAACAUUACAUAUGCAAUAAUGAGGAGUAUGUACACUAAUAUUUCAUUUUUGUCACUUUCGUGUAUAAUUUCACUCUCAAUUUAUUACAAAAUCGACGUUUUGACAAUGAUAUCCAGACUAUAUUAUAUUAGCAGAGUAUAUUGCAAGGCUGCUGGUUGGAAGAGUUAAUGAAUAAUAUAUUCAAAAUAAUAAAUAAUAUAUCAUAUUAUAACUCGG